GCAAUGGUGGUUCAGUGGUAGAAUUCUCACGUUCCAUGCCAGAGACCCGAGUUUGAUUCCCCGCCAAUGCA
rnacentral:tRNA from 1 species